UGCAAGUCGAACGAGCGAGAGAGAGCUUGCUUUCUCAAGCGAGUGGCGAACGGGUGAGUAACGCGUGAGGAACCUGCCUCAAAGAGGGGGACAACAGUUGGAAACGACUGCUAAUACCGCAUAAGCCCACGACCCGGCAUCGGGUAGAGGGAAAAGGAGCAAUCCGCUUUGAGAUGGCCUCGCGUCCGAUUAGCUAGUUGGUGAGGUAACGGCCCACCAAGGCGACGAUCGGUAGCCGGACUGAGAGGUUGAACGGCCACAUUGGGACUGAGACACGGCCCAGACUCCUACGGGAGGCAGCAGUGGGGAAUAUUGCACAAUGGGGGAAACCCUGAUGCAGCGACGCCGCGUGGAGGAAGAAGGUCUUCGGAUUGUAAACUCCUGUUGUUGAGGAAGAUAAUGACGGUACUCAACAAGGAAGUGACGGCUAACUACGUGCCAGCAGCCGCGGUAAAACGUAGGUCACAAGCGUUGUCCGGAAUUACUGGGUGUAAAGGGAGCGCAGGCGGGAAGACAAGUUGGAAGUGAAAUCCACGGGCUCAACCCAUGAACUGCUUUCAAAACUGUUUUUCUUGAGUAGUGCAGAGGUAGGCGGAAUUCCCGGUGUAGCGGUGGAAUGCGUAGAUAUCGGGAGGAACACCAGUGGCGAAGGCGGCCUACUGGGCACCAACUGACGCUGAGGCUCGAAAGUGUGGGUAGCAAACAGGAUUAGAUACCCUGGUAGUCCACACUGUAAACGAUGAUUACUAGGUGUUGGAGGAUUGACCCCUUCAGUGCCGCAGUUAACACAAUAAGUAAUCCACCUGGGGAGUACGACCGCAAGGUUGAAACUCAAAGGAAUUGACGGGGGCCCGCACAAGCAGUGGAGUAUGUGGUUUAAUUCGACGCAACGCGAAGAACCUUACCAAGUCUUGACAUCCUGCGACGCA
rnacentral:rRNA from 1 species